rnacentral:rRNA from 1 species
GAUCCAGCCAUACCGCGUGGGUGAAGAAGGCCUUCGGGUUGUAAAGCCCUUUUGUUGGGAAAGAAAUCCAGCCGGCUAAUACCUGGUUGGGAUGACGGUACCCAAAGAAUAAGCACCGGCUAACUUCGUGCCAGCAGCCGCGGUAAUACGAAGGGUGCAAGCGUUACUCGGAAUUACUGGGCGUAAAGCGUGCGUAGGUGGUUGUUUAAGUCUGUUGUGAAAGCCCUGGGCUCAACCUGGGAACUGCAGUGGAAACUGGACGACUAGAGUGUGGUAGAGGGUAGCGGAAUUCCCGGUGUAGCAGUGAAAUGCGUAGAGAUCGGGAGGAACAUCCAUGGCGAAGGCAGCUACCUGGACCAACACUGACACUGAGGCACGAAAGCGUGGGGAGCAAACAGGAUUAGAUACCCUGGUAGUCCACGCCCUAAACGAUGCGAACUGGAUGUUGGGUGCAAUUUGGCACGCAGUAUCGAAGCUAACGCGUU